UAAGGUACCGGACUUCUAAAAUCAUGAGGUUACGGUGUCCAUUUGGUUGGAGAGCCAUUUGAAUGGUUCCGGUAAGGUUGCGGUGUAAUGUAAUAUAUCGAAUUUAAAUAUAAAAAAAAAUAGAAAUAAAUAAAAAUAGUAUGAGAUACUAUUUUUAUUGGAUUUAGAGAAGUGAAAUAUAAGUUGAAUAACCUGUGCUGAAAUCGGAGCGAAAACAGAAGAUUUAGAAUUUUCUGUGAGAAACGGGACAGAUAAAUUAGCAGAAAAUGCACAGUCUCAGAAAAUUAUGAAAAUUGGCAGAGAUGUCAGAAAUAUUUUUAUGAGGCUAGAUUUAAGGUUUCAUAUUUUUCUGACACCCGUAGAGCGAGAAAUAAAAAUCUGAUAGCUAUCUAAUAAAGAUUGCAGUUCGGUACAGUUUUCAGUGACCAAACGAGGUCGAAACUGAAAUAUUAAAAUUUCUUUGGACGUACGAAGUGAAACCGAACCUGCCUGCCAAAUUUGAGCUCAAACGGACAUCCGGAAGAGCUCCAACGAAAUUUAUCAGAUUUCAAGCUGCCCGGGAGUGAAUAGUGUCGGGUGCAUUAUAAAGAAGCUGAUGCUUCUUCUUCUUUCUCCUUCAGCCCGAGCACGCCCACACCCACGCACGCAUGGAGUAGAGAGAGAAACCCUCCUUCCUCUCUCUAGAUAUCUCUCUCAUCUCUCUAAAUCUCUCUCUAAAAAUUGGAGGGUUGGUGGAGAAGAUGCUUACGAACGCGUUGGGAGCGACGGAUCGGGCUUUCGUGCGGCCGUUGGAGCGGUGUGUGGUCGUCGCGGCGUUCACAUUGAGGUAAGCUUUUAGGAUUUGGCUUAAUCCUUAAUUCUAAGUGUUCUAAUAGCCUCUAAUGAGCAUUCUAAACAUGUUUGCUCCAUUUAAUUUGGAUUAUUUGGAGAUUAAUUCAUGUUAGGCUUAGAAAAUGGGGUUUUGUAAAAUAUGAGGGUUUGAUCUCAUUUGACCCUCCGUAAACCAAAUUGCUAGGUAAACGAACGCGUUGGCGAAGACGGUUCGGCAAUCCGACGAGCCGUUAAAAAGUUAUUAAAGAAAUGGAUGUUUAGGCUUCGGGUCCGCCGGGAGGGCCGAGGCGAUAUCGUAAAUUCAUGAAAACGGAUUUGAAGCAUCGUACCAAGAAACCGAAGACCUUUAAUUUUCAGGAUUUCGGAUCGGAGGUCGUUUGGUGGUCGCGCGCGGAUUGGGUCAAGCCGAGCGGCGUGCGCCGCGGGAGGCCGAUUGCAAGUGACGACAAGCAAUCGGAACGCGAUAAAAGGUGGGGGAGUGCCAUCCCGAAGUCAUCGGGCUUCUUCCUAUGUCUUAGUGCUUUAUCCGUUCACAUGUAGCAUAUUGUAUGUUGCUAUGCAUUAUAGGAUGACAAUACAUGCAUUCCUAAUCCUUAUAUGAUGUUUAUGAUCAAUAUAGGUAUUAUGAUAUGGAAUAUAUGAUGUAAUGGACAUAAGGAUUAUGAGAUGACAUUGGUAAACCUAUGAUGCUAAAUGAAAGAAGAACCUAGUGUUGUUGUAAUUAAAGACAUAGUUUACAAGUGGCAUUGAACUCAUUGUGCUAAAAACACAUAUGACUUGAGCUAGUAAUGGAUUGGUUGUUGCACUAGAAACUUCUAGUAACGUUGAUCAAGUUGCAUAUUGGGAUAUUGCAUUAUAGGGUACUAGUUGGCAAUUGUUACAUGUCAUGGCAUGCUAGUGAGAGUGUAGUGUUACUUGAUUAAUACUUGUACCUAGUAUGCAUGAGAUUGGGACUUAAUGUGGUGAAACCCUAUAAGGGCAUGAUUAAUGUAGGGUUAAACUUAGUUGAGUACAUUAAUCGAUCAAGUUGCAUAUUGUAUUUAUUGCAUAUAGGUGCUAGAUGAUUAUGGUUAUUGCUUGUAUUUGCAUGCUAGUAGCUAUACAUCUUGAUGAUUGAUCCAUGAACUAGUAUGCAUGAGAACCUAGACCCUAUAUGUGAGAUGAUUAAUGCUUAUGUUGCUAAAGAACUAGUAUGAUGUAACUAGUGUUGAAAUGAGUCUAAAUGACGAGUGGCAUCUAGUUUAGAAAACUAUGAUGAGUGGCAUAUGAUUGUUGAUAACCUUGACAUGAGAACCUUAGUGUAGUUGAAACACUAUGAGAUUGGGUACAAGAACACCUUGAUUCCAUGAUGAGAUUACCCUUAGAGGGUAGGUUGCUGUUGCUCGUGAGAUGAUCACGCUCACAUUGCCUGUCUGCGCUUGGUGGGGUCGCUCCCCCCAGGUUGUGCGCUCCGGAGUUUGGUCACUAGAGAGGCAGCCCUGCUUGCUGCUCGGAUAGCCGCUUGUUAUCCGCAGGCGUACUCGGGGAUCGACCAGCUAGGCAUCCCUAGGAGAUUGAUAUGUGAGCCUUGCUUGUGAACCUUGUGUUCACCACGAGAUUUGGUUACCUAUUGAGUCAUACUCAUUAUUGUUGUUCAUGAUAGCUUGCUUCCAUAGUUGUUGUUGUUGUUCAUAGUAGCUUACUAGUGUUCAUAGUAGCUUACUUAUUGCUCAUGCCUUCAUGAUAUACUAUUCCUUCACCUAUGAGAUUUGAGUACCUAUUGAGUCAUACUCAUUAUUGUUGUUCAUGAUAGCUUGCUUCCAUAGUUGUUGUUGUUGUUCACCUAUGAGAUUUGAGUGGAGUAGCCCUGUACCUAGUAGGUCGAGAUGUGAGUCGGGCAAAGUGCGGGGUAGCCUUUGCCUAGGACCUUGAGAUGUGAGUCGGGCGAGGGGCGGGGUAGCUCUUUGCCUAGGGACUCACGAGAUUGGGUCAGACCCUUGAGAUAUGAGUCGAGUGAGACAAGAGUGAGUUAGCUCUUCACCUACUAGAUUUGAGAUCUUAGGCAAGUUAGCCUAGCGGAUUGGGUAAUAACAUGAAUAGCAUAAGAGUAUUGCAUUCAUACCUUGAUUAGACAUAGUGCAUUGCAUAACUAUGUUGUUGUUGUAUUUAUUUCACUGUUGAGGCAUAUUAGCAUGAUAGUAGAUUGUUGCUAGAUGAUGUUCCAUGCAUACUUUGCAUUUGAUGGCAUAAUAGAUAUAGUAGUAGUAUUUCCAUAUAUCUUUCUAUCUAUCUAUCUGUGCCAGCUUGGACCUAGUGGGAAGAUCGGCGGAGUCGGCGGCCGAACCCACUGGGAACUAUAUUUAUAUAGUUCUCACCCCGUGUGGUUUUGGGGUACAGG
rnacentral:lncRNA from 1 species